AGAGUUUGAUCCUGGCUCAGAAUGAACGCUGGCGGCGUGCUUAAGACAUGCAAGUCGAACGAGAAAGCAUCUUCGGAUGUGAGUAGAGUGGCGCACGGGUGAGGAAUACCUAGAUAACGUACCCUUUCGCUGGGGAUAACCAAGGGAAACUUUGGCUAAUACCGAAUAUUCCAAUUGUUACUGCGGUUUCGAUUGGGAAAGCUUUCGGGCGCGAAGGGAGCGGUCUGGGUCCCAUUAGUUUGAUGGUGGGGUAACGGCCUACCAUGGCAUCGAUGGGUAGCUGGUCUGAGAGGAUGAUCAGCCACACUGGUACUGGAACACGGACCAGACUCCUACGGGAGGCAGCAGUUAGGAAUUUUGCGCAAUGGGGGAAACCCUGACGCAGCAACGCCGCGUGAGUGAAGAAGGCCUUCGGGUUGUAAAGCUCUUUUCUCAGGGAAGAAAUUGACGGUACCUGAGGAAUAAGCACCGGCUAACUCCGUGCCAGCAGCCGCGGUAAUACGGAGGGUGCGAGCGUUAUUCGGAAUUACUGGGCGUAAAGAGCACGUAGGCGGUUUAAUAAGUCUGAUGUGAAAGCCCACGACUCAAUCGUGGAAGUGCAUUGGAUACUGUUAGACUAGAGUACAGGAGGGGAGAGCGGAAUUCCAGGUGUAGAGGUGAAAUUCGUAGAUAUCUGGAGGAACAACAGAGGCGAAAGCG
rnacentral:rRNA from 1 species